AUACGUAGGUGACAAGCGUUAUCCGGAUUUACUGGGCGUAAAGGGCGUGUAGGCGGUCUUGCAAGUCAGAAGUGAAAUUCCUGAGCUCAACUCGGGCGCUGCUUCUGAAACUGCAGGACUUGAGUGCUGGAGGGGAUAGCGGAAUUCCUAGUGGAGCGGUAAAAUGCGCAGAUAUGAGGAAGAACACCGGUGGCGAAGGCGGCUAUCUGGACAGUAACUGACGCUGAGGCGCGAAAGCGUGGGGAGCAAACAGGAUUAGAGCCCCUGGUAGGCCACGCCGUAAACGAUGGGCGCUCGUCGUCGGCGGCAGACAGUCGGCGGCCAAGCGAAAGCGAUAAGCGCCCCACCUGGGGAGUACGGUCGCAAGGCUGAAACUCAAAUGAAUUGACGGGG
rnacentral:rRNA from 1 species